UACGUAGGGUGCGAGCGCUAAUCGGAAUUACUGGGCGUAAAGCGUGCGCAGGCGGCUUUGCAAGACAGAUGUGAAAUCCCCGGGCUCAACCUGGGAACUGCAUUUGUGACUGCAUGGCUAGAGUACGGUAGAGGGGGAUGGAAUUCCGCGUGUAGCAGUGAAAUGCGUAGAUAUGCGGAGGAACACCGAUGGCGAAGGCAAUCCCCUGGACCUGUACUGACGCUCAUGCACGAAAGCGUGGGGAGCAAACAGG
rnacentral:rRNA from 1 species